rnacentral:sRNA from 1 species
GAAAAAUACUCGUUGUAUAGGAUGAGAACCGUCAAAGGUUCGACUCGGAAGGCGAAGCCUGUAGAGAACAGCGGAGCUUGCGACGCUGGCCCGUAGGGCAUAGUAAUCCUAUACGACCCACCA